AACGAACGCUGGCGGCAUGCCUAACACAUGCAAGUCGAACGAGACCUUCGGGUCUAGUGGCGCACGGGUGCGUAACGCGUGGGAACCUGCCCUUAGGUUCGGAAUAACUCCCCGAAAGGGGUGCUAAUACCGGAUAAUGUCUUCGGACCAAAGAUUUAUCGCCUUUGGAUGGGCCCGCGUUGGAUUAGCUAGUUGGUAGGGUAAAAGCCUACCAAGGCGACGAUCCAUAACUGGUCUGAGAGGAUGAUCAGCCACACUGGGACUGAGACACGGCCCAGACUCCUACGGGAGGCAGCAGUGGGGAAUAUUGGACCAUGGGCGAAAGCCUGAUCCAGCAAUGCCGCGUGAGUGAUGAAGGCCUUAGGGUUGUAAAGCUCUUUUACCCGGGAUGAUAAUGACAGUACCGGGACAAUAAGCUCCGGCUAACUCCGUG
rnacentral:rRNA from 1 species